AUCCCAGAAUGGUUCAGGUUGGAAGGGACCACAGUGGCUUAGCUGGUCCCACCUCCCUGCUCCAGCAGGGUCAUCCCAGAACACAUGGCAUGGGACUGUGUCCUGACAGUUUUGGAAUAUCUCCAGUGAGGGAGACUCCACAUGCUCUCUGUGCAGUCUGUUCCAGUGCACGGUCACCCACACAGUGAAGUUCUUCUUCAUGUAGAGGUGGAACUUCCUAGGCAUCAGUUUCUGUCCAUUGUCUCUUGUGUUCUGUUGUUUGGCACCACCAAGAGGAGCCAGGCUCCAUCUUCUUGGCAACCCCCCCUCAGAUAUUUAUACACAUUGAUGAGGUCCCUCCUCAGCUGUCUGUUCUUGAGGCUGAACAGGCCCAGCUUGCUUCGGCUUUACUCGUAAGAGAGAUGCUUCACCCCCUGUACCAUCCUCGUUGGCCCCAGACCCCCUCAAAUACCCCCCAUACCCUUCACGCACCCCCAGAUUCCCUCACACACACCACAAAUCCCCCUUUUCACCUUCCAGCUUCCAGAUCUCUGCCAAGUGUACUGUAAAAACCACUUGCAUAAUAGAUCUACUGUCAGUAAUGUCUUUUUCUGCUGCAGUUUUUCAUCCCUAUCCUUUUAGAGCUCAUUCUUUCUUCAAAAGUAUAUACAGGUCUUUAAUCUGAAAAGUGGGGUCAUUCUGCCUCCCUACUCUUACUGGAAUAAAAGUGCCUGGAUAAUCCAUUAAAGCAUAGGCUCUGAGGGUGUGAAAAGAAACCUCAGAUGUGAGUCAAAUGCUUCAGCUUCCAUAGUCAGAAAUUAAGCAGGGACUCAUCAAUGAUUUUCAUUGUGUAUUUUUUUGUAUUUAUACUUGAAGGCUGUAUCUCACAGAAUAUCAGAAGGGGGCUGUGUCUUCAAAACACUGCUUAGGUGGUAAAAAUCAUUUAGCAAACGUUCACUUCAGUUAGGCCUCUAGAGCAAUGGUGCCUCUUUAUUUCAAUGACAUUAUAGUUGGUAUUUCUUGGUUCCAAACCUCUUUUUUCCCUAGUGUGCAGUUUUGUAUAUUUUCCCCCUCUGCCUAGCAAAGUCUGAGUGCCAACAUCCAUUUUCUAACUCAACGCUUCUCUGCUGUUUUAUUUCAAUUAACAACAAACCUGGUGACAUAAUCCAACAGAAAAGGACUGGAGCUGUAAAACAAAGCUUGCUUUUCCAUAACAGUUAGUUAGAGGAAGAAGUAUUUAAAUUUUAGGGAUGUGUAUAUGCCUAAAAAAAGCUGAAGAUGCUUUGGCAGAUUUUUCAAACACUGUUCUAGAAAAAAAAAACCAAUAAAAAUCUUAUAAUUCAAAAUAGUUUGAGAAAUUCCUUGAUUCGCUCAAAAUUUAAAAAAAAAAUAAAAGUUUUAAAAAAUAGAGAAUUUGGCAAAUUUUCAGAAUGUAAAGAAAAAUAAUCUGUGUGUGAAGUGGAAAAUAAAAUAUCAAGCUGUGCUGACAUUUUAAAUACUUUGUUUGAAAGACAGUGGAUGAUGAAGAGAACGAGUCAGAAUAAAAGAUUUUUGUUCAGAACUGAAAGCAAACAGCACCCAAACAGCAGGUGAAACACAAACAAAAUCCACUGGAACAUUUUUAUUGGCAGACAUAAACACUUCUUGACCAACAUCUGCAUAGAAUAUCGUAUGAUAAGGUGUUUGGAAACAGUUUAGACUUGGAAAGGGUGAUUUCUGUCAGUUCCCUGUAAAAACAGAGGAGGAAAGCAGCUUGUGGAAUCCCAUGGGUUCGUGAUGAUGGGAUUAUGGCAUUUAGCUACUUUAAAGAGCAUUCUACAUGUGUGUUGACUGUGUCUGCAUGGUGUUAGUUCCUCUUUGGUCUGCAUUCAUAUUAUUGCAAUGCAAUGCUCAAAAGUUUAACAUGUCCCACAGUUGUGAAUCCCCAGAUCCAGUGAUGAGGUUGGCCGUGCUCAUGCUGAGGACGAUCAAAGCUUUGCACUUCAGGCUUCAAGAAGUUCCUCUUUAGAAGAAGGAAGAGGGAAGUGGGUGCAAAGAGAGAAAAUGGUGCACAGAGAAGCCCUGAGAGAGGAGAGCACAUCAUCCAGACGGAAAGACAGUUGGCGAAGGGACAGAAGACUAAAAGAAGUAUAGGAAACCAAGUAAGUGAGCAAAUACAACCUGCUGGAUCCAAGAGCCUGGAAGAGGGAGAGGUGAGGCUGCUCAGCUCCAUCUCCCUGGGUCUAGCCAGCACUGAGGCCAGAGACGUGAUCUCAGCAAGCAGAUGCACACAGAGCUCAGCUAUACACCAUGGACAUACCUGAUGAUUUAAACGUUGAUCCAUUUGAGGACUAUAACACAGUUUUCCCAAAAAAAAAAAAAAAA